rnacentral:lncRNA from 1 species
UAAAAUAAGAGCAUUUCUUAAGAUAUAAAAUAAGAAUCAUUUUCAGCCCUUAGAUCAUCAAGAUCUACGGUUGAUUCGUAAUCCUGUUGGAUGGAUUUAUGGUCCUGAGUUCGAAUCUCAAAGGUAGCAAAAAAUUAUUUUUCACAAUUCAUACCUUUAUACAGCGAAUUCAUACGUGUUCUACAUAAAAUUCAUACAUUAAAAAUUA